GAUCCGUGGCUCAGAGACGAACGUUAGCGGCGGGCCUAACACAUGCAAGUCGAACGGGAUCCUAGCUUGCUAGGUGAGAGUGGCGGACGGGUGAGUAACACGUGGGAAUCUGCCUUUUGGUUCGGGAUAACCGCGGGAAACUGCGGCUAAUACCGAAUGCCCUCGAGAGAGGAAAGAUUCAUCGCCAGAAGAGGAGCCCGCGUCCGAUUAGGUAGUUGGUGGGGUAAAGGCCUACCUAGCCGACGAUCGGUAGCUGGUCUGAGAGGAUGAUCAGCCACACUGGGACUGAGAUACGGCCCAGACUCCUACGGGAGGCAGCAGGUGGGGAAUUAUUGGACAAUGGGGGCAACCCUGAUCCAGCAAUGCCGCGUGAGUGAUGAAGGCCUUAGGGUUGUAAAGCUCUUUUGCCAGGGAAGAUGAUGACUGUACCUGGAGAAUAAGCCCCGGCUAACUUCGUG
rnacentral:rRNA from 1 species